UACAGAGAGUGCGAACGUUGUUCGGAAUUACUGGGCUUAAAGCGUACGUAGGCGGCGUGACAAGUGUCGGGUGAAAGCCCACGGCUUACCCGUGGAAUUGCCUGGCAAACUGUCAUGCUAGAGUGUGGUAGGGGAGAACAGAACUCAUGGUGGAGCGGUGAAAUGCGUAGAUAUCAUGAGGAAUACCGGUGGCGAAGGCGGUUCUCUGGUCCACAACUGACGCUGAGGUACGAAAGCUAGGGUAGCGAACGGG
rnacentral:rRNA from 1 species